rnacentral:lncRNA from 1 species
CCCAGAUUUAGGGUCUUGUCGAGCGAAUGAACAGGACUAGGAGGAUGAUGGAAAGCAGAGGAACAAAGCUUGUCAAAUGAAGGCUGGCCCCCGUCUCAUGCCACUUGUUCUUGACAUCAGAAAGCACUACGGACAAGGUCGAUAUCAUGAUAAAUAGCAUGCUGUAUGUAUGGGAUCAUCAGCGAACGUUAUGGCUGAAUUUGUUUGCUGUUCCAAAUGAAACGGGCGAUGAAGAACACUGCACAGAUUGUACUUAUAUCAGUAUCCACACAAGGAUCGAUCCUCAGAUUCAGUUCCAUACAAGAACUGCUUAUCAAAAAGAUUCUUCGCACUAGCUGCGGGAAACACGGAUUGGAGGCCGCAUCAUUCUCUCCAUUCUCCAACAUGAGAAUUAAAGGAAGCAAAGAAAGGAGGAGGAACUAAAUGAAGCCCUGUCACUCAGUUUGAGCCAUCAUUCUCUUUCCGUAAGCAUCCAAUCAUAUGGGCCAUUAAAGCAGGCAAAGGAGAGAGAGAGAGAGAGAAGCUCAGUCAGGAUAUUCCAUGAAAAACGCAAAAGAAAGCACCUGCAAUCAUCACCAGCUUCAUCACUCAUCAGGCUGCUAAUGCUAAUGGCGGGGUAUAUUCCCCAUCCUGGCUCUCCCCUGUCGGGCGGGUUUCCUGUGAAUCUGUGAUUCAAUUUGCUGCUCACCAGGUGGUGCCAAACGCUUGUCUCCCUCCCUCUAAAAAAACACUUGUCUCACAGCUUCUAGAUACCGUGCAGAGUUGCGGACACGCACUUAGCUCGAUGUCAUAGACAGUAGUGCACUUGUAUAUUUGAUUCCCUUUGUUUUGUUGGUAACUAAUGAUUCAGAUGAAGCGCACGUAACCACAUCAUCACAC